UACGUAGGGGCCAAGCGUUGUCCGGAUUUAUUGGGCGUAAAGAGCUCGUAGGCGGUUGGGUAAGUCGGGGGUGAAAACUCCAGGCUCAACUUGGAGAUGCCACCCGAUACUGCUCUGACUUGAGUUCGGUAGGGGAGUGGGGAAUUCCUGGUGUAGCGGUGGAAUGCGCAGAUAUCAGGAGGAACACCGGUGGCGAAGGCGGGUCUCUGGACAGUUCCUGACGCUGAGGCGCGAAGGCCAGGGGAGCAAACGGG
rnacentral:rRNA from 1 species